rnacentral:lncRNA from 1 species
CCCUGCGCCCGGCCGCGGCGGCGGCGGCUCCGCUCGCCCCGGGAGGGAGCCCGCGGCCAGGGCUGGACUCUCGCCCCGCCACCUCCACCGACUCUCUCCUCAGCCUCCGCGCCUGGCACCGCAGCAAGACUUGAAUGAAGUGAUCAUGUAAACUAGAGAAAGGAGAUUAAAAAUAACCUCUGGAUAUUCCUCUCAUGUGAUCUUUAUUCUGGAUGAAGCAUUAGGACAGCUAAUAGCCGUGUGUCACUUAAAAAUCCAACUUGAGAACUGUCACCAAAGAUGUCUAGGAACUUUGAAGAAACAUGAAGCAAUCUUCGGCAGGGUUAUGUCUUGAUUACUACAAGGUCCUAUUCUCAAGAGUGGUGUUCACAGUCUAGAUCUAAGGUGUGAUUUCUUCCCUAAGACUAAGGACCCAUCAUUUUAGUGCAACCUUCUUCAUUUAAAUGGAGAGUUGUAAUUGCCAAUGCUCACAGCUACUCCUGCUCUGGCAAUUUGCUGCCAGAAGUGUGUUUUCCUUUUUAAAAGGUAAGUGCCUUUUUAAGAAAUAUUAUAUAAAAUUAUCAUCAUUUCUGAUUUAUAGCUUUGAAGAGCCUAUUAAUUUUAAAGCCCCAUGGCUGACAGCUGUGUUGUUCAAAGGCGAGGAUAUAUAGUAUUAAUUAUCUUAAGCUCCAGAUUAUCGUUCAUGGUGCUGACAUUAAGUAUAAAGGACAAACUGGCGCAGUUUUCUAUUUUAGUAAGAAUAAUUAAUUAACCUGGUGAUUUUUAGAAGAAAUACCUGUUGAAGUAAGAUACAACUAACACAGUUCAGUUUGAUCACAUUUGUUUCAGUUCUGGAUGGAUGUAGAUAAUUUUCAUGGAAAUUGCCAGUAACUUAGAGUAUGGCCACAGUUUGCUUUUGUUGUUGUUGUUGCUGUUGUUGUUGUUUUACUGGUUUUUCUUUCUUAUUUGUUUGGUUAAUUGGAGUCAGAGAAUGGGCUUGUACAUUUUGAAAGUUAAAAAUGUUUGUGUCUGAAAGAUAUUACUUACCAAUAAAGACUGUACAGUUUUGACUAGACUACAUUUAUAUUUUCAAAUUUUGCAAUGUAUUAGUUUCAACCAUAAGUUAAAUUUUAGAGCUGACUCAAUCUAGUAUUUAAAUUUUCAAGAAUUCUGUGAUGUUUGAAAGCAAACUAAAUGCUUAAGUAGAGAAUACUUUGUGCUUUAUUAUGUACCCAAAAAUGACUCCUUCGUUGUGUUAUUUCUCGGCUUGCCUUUCCCUAAGCAUUGAUUCAGACAGUGAAAACAUAGAGGGGUGAUUAAUUACUGUAUUCCUGGUAUAGUCUUUGUUUCUCUAACAAGUCAUGGUGAAUGUCUUCAGAAGACACCCUUCUACAGCAUCCAUGGCAAACAUCAAUCUCUAUUACUGCUCUAGCUUGGAAGUUUCACUUGUUUAUACCUCUUGGUUGAGUAUCAUCACUUUUUUACUUCUAUACGUUUUGGAUGCUGUAACGAGAGAAACUUCUUGCCUUUAGGGCAUUUGAAUUCAGCUUCUGCUUAUAAUAACGGAGGAGCUCUGUGUGUAAUUAUGUUGCCAAGAUAAGUAAAUUAAUAAAUUAUAACUCUUUCCUCCACCUGAUAAUUGUUUAUUUACGGGGUUGUAUUUCUGCUAUCAGGUAAAGUUGGUGUAUUAGCUUGAUGUAUUAGCAUCAUGCUAACUAUCACAGCUAGUUAUGCAGUUAGCAAAGCAAUAUAUUUUACAGGCACUUUGCAUUUUGAAAAUAGCACGUCUGUUACUUGUAAAUUCCUGCUCUCUUACGGUAGGAGCCCGUAAUUCUGUUAAGUAAGUUACCAAGAAUUAUGUUUAAAAGUACAAUUCACAAAUUCUGCCAUGUCAUGGAAGUUGGUAACUAUGACAGAAUUACAACGAAGUUCUUUUUUUAUAAGUUAAUCUUAAGCUAUGUAAAUAUAUGAUGUACAGGUUAUGAGAGCCAUGGUUUAGACUACAUUGCAGAAAAACAAUCAAGAAAAGUAAAAAAUUUAACCAUUUCGAAAGUUUUUUUCCCCUUCCAUACAAACUGGGUAGUAAAAAGAACGUAGACUUUAGGAUCAGUUAGAACUCACUUGUAGACCUACCUCCAGCUCUUACUUGCUGUGUGAUUUCAGGCAAGUUACUUCACCCCUCUGAGACAUUUAAAUUAGUUUUCAGACUGAAUAUAAUAAUACCUAUUUUGCACAACUGCCAUAAACAUGCUGCAAGUGAUUUGUUGGUUCCCUGCUUUCCCCUAAGAGUCAAUCUCAUCUUGUGUACACAGCCUUAGACAAAUUCCUUAAUGCUGUAUCUGAUAAAACUAUAAUUUUAUGGUAAGCUUGUCUCUUUUUUUUUCUUCUAUGUAUAUAAACUUUGCCUUGAAUAUACUAACCUGGUAGACUAUUCACAUCUACAAAACAGAACAUAAUAUCUUGCUAAACUCUGUAUAAAGAUGCUGCCUUCUGUUGGUGUGAAAGUAUACACCCAUGAGAUUGAUUUACAGGCAUUUUGUGAAUGCAAACAACUCUCAUUUUAGUAAACUCUUUAUGAAUCUUAAAUACUUCUUUCCUUUUUUGUCUUCUCUUCAGUGCCCUUACUUAGGCUAUUUCUUGUCCAGAGACCUAGUCCUCUUUACUACAUACUAAAGCUUAGAACUGGGGCCCUGUUCUAGCUUCUUUUAUUCCUCUAUUUAGGAAAGCAUCUCCUUACAAUCCUUUCUCUCCAAACUCUGCUGGGUAAUUGAAUAGCUACAUGACUGAAAAUGUUUCAAUAGCCUUUCAAGGUAGUAUUUACAUUUUAAUGAGCUUUUGUAAUGGUUUAACCUAAAUACAAGGGAAUAUGAUGAGCUCUUUGGUAUGGGGAAUAAUUUGAGGCCCAAAGUUAUUCCCAGGCAGCCCUGUAAACUUAUAAAAGUAGGGUUGCUUCCUCUCCAUGCUUGUUAUAAAGCUUCUACGUGCAUCCAAGGCUUCACGUAAAUAUUCUCUUUCUCUUUUUCCCCUUUCUCCCACUGCAGAUAAAAAAUUUCAAAUGGACAUAAAUUGAUAUCUAGUUCUCCUCUGAAAAUUGUGAACACAUUAUUUUAAAUCUUCUCUGUACUAUUCUCCAACCCCUUUGAUUUUUUAGUUGCCUUCAAAAUUUUAAGAAUAAUUUAUAUGUUUUGCUUAUCACAAAUUCUCAUACACCUGAGCCAAACAGUUUUGUUAAGUUUGGGGGAAAUCACGACUUUUGUGUUUCUGAUCAGGAAACAGAGAAGGACGUGACUUGGCUAAACUCUGCAGAACAUCGGUUAAUACUGGGGUUUCUGACACCCAAAGCAGUUCAAAUUGUCGACGUCAUUCUAUCACGUAAAAGCAAUUCAUGUGCUAUUUUCCUUCUAUGGAUUUACUCAUGCAUAUGCAAAUAUGAGACAAGAAAACCAGACAAAAUGUACUGCAUGUGGUAAUGUGACUCAGCUCCUCAAUAGCCCAGCCCUCCCCAGGCUCCUUGCCAAAAUAAACUGAGUGUUGACAGGGAGCUUGAUGUGUUUUAAUAGCAAAAAGCCAAAAAUGAAGAUAGUUUACAAGUGAUAAAUGAGAGAUUCAUUUUUAAAUGGAAUUCUCUGCUUGAAUAAUGCAAUGUAUAUGUGACAUUAGUAAAGUUCUGGGAAAAAUGAUAGAAGACCUAUAUGUCACAAUUUGCCAGGCAUAGUUACCUAAUCCUGGUGACUAAGAAAAAAGGACAAUAGAUUCCCCUGAGAACUUUUUAAUUGACCCUUAAAUGUCAUUCCAAGUGCUUUAAUAAUAAAGAAUUGAAAGUCUUUGACAUUUGUUGAUUUUUUAUCUUGUAGUUUUCUCUUGAUUUACUUUCUAUUUUUACUGAAAAGUUACUGCUGGAUUCUAGUGCUUUCAGAAAAUACCUUUUUUAUCUCAUCAUAUCAUCUAUGUGAGCCUAAAUUUCUUAUGGUUUGCCUCACUCUUCUCAAGCCAAAACCUACUAAUUAUACCUACUAAUCACAAAACAAUUUCUUCCCCAAUCAGACAAAUGGAUGUUUUUGUUUAUUCUUUGCUUCUUGAUUGUUUUGAACAGUAAUCCUAUAUUAAUUUUGAUAAAUCCACACACUGAUGUUAAAAUGAUCAUAAAAGUAGCAUGUGAUGAGUUUAUCUGGGCUUAUAGGUUAGAAGUUGGAUAGGGGUGUCCAUUGUGAGCAUUGCAACUAUAUGAGAAGCAUUCAAAUCUAAAGUUAACACUUCUGAAUAAAUUUUAUUUUUUAGCGUGCAGUUUUUCCUAGAAGACUGAAAAAUCCAGAGACUUUUUUUUCUUUACAUCUAGAAUGUCCUGCUUGCACAUAUUUUUUAAAACCUACAUCAUGUAUUGUUGACUUCCUUGCCAAAGGCACACAUGCAUUUCUAUUUCAUUUUUUGAUAAUUCUGAUAUUGUACCUAGUUCUCUUGAGCCAUGGUACCUCUAUUUCAUUUCUGAAUCAAACUCUAUGCUUCUUUAUAACUUCCAACUUUUGACAUGUUUUCACUGGCAAUUUGGUCAUUAGCAUAUUUUUGAGAUCGAACUUUAUAUCACUAUUUCAGGUGAAUAUGUAAAGCAUAGAAAACCAGAUAAAAUGUUGGGUUUCUUUAAAUGAAUUUCGUCUCUAUAGAAUAAAAUUUAGCAUUCGGUCCUUUUUUCCACAUAUCAUCACACAUUUACUUUUAUACAUUUACCUUAGAUUAAAUGUGUUUGCCUCACACCACUUGAGAGAGUGAUUAAAGUGCAUGCUUGGGCCACCUUUUUCUCCUCAGAAUUCCCAAGAACUAGUUUUCUUAAUUUAAAUAAUUACCAUAAGUACAAAACCUUCAUAUUGAAAAUCGGUAUAGAUAUUACAACUUGAAUUAUACAAUAAAAUAAAUAUGAGCAAGCUUCUCUUUCCACAAUGAACGUUCGUUAUAGAAAGAGCAUCAAAUGCAGCUCCUGGGUUAUGGUGAAUUUAUAGAAGACAAAAUUUCACCAUCACCCAAUUAUUCUGAGAUAACUACUACUGGAAUUCCAGUGUUCAACUGGACUUUUAAUGCAUUUAUUUAUACGUAAUCAAUGUUAUGGCAGCUGCGCAGAUAUAGACUAAUCUCUUCUUGCCGGCCGUUUCACCUUACUCAGUUUCCAUUACCUGUGGUCAACCAUGGUCCAGAAAAUAUUAAAAGAAACAUUCCAGAAAUAAACAAAUUUAUCCAUUUUAAAAUGUGUGCCAUUCUGAGUAGCAUGGUGAAAUAUCAUGCCAUCCUGCUCUGUCCUGCCUCACAUUUGGGCCAUCCAAUUGUCUAGCAUAGCCACACUGUAGACACUACCCACCCAUUAGUCACUGAUGUGGCUGCUUCUGACAUCCAGCCAUCAGCAUCAUCACUGUGAGUCUUGGUCUGGGAACCUACACUCAUCCUCCUGUAUACUUUAAGCUAUCUCUAGAUUAUAUGUAAUACCUAAUACAAUGCAUAUGCUAUGUAACUAAGUGCUCUAAUGUAUUUUUAUUUGUAUUAUUUAUAAUUGUAAAUUUUUAAAUUAAAAAACAUUUUGGAUUAUUUUCAAUCUGGGGUCAGCUGAAUCCAAGGAUGCAGAACCUGUGGAUAUUGAGGGUCCACUGUAUAUACUUAUAAUUCUUCUAAUUUACUAUUAGCUGUCGUUAAUCUUUUACUGUGCCUAAUUAUAGUAAAACUUUAUCAUACGUAUAUAGGUAUAGAAAAAAUACUAUAUAUCGGAUUCCAUACUAUUUUUAUUUAUUUAUUUAUUUUUAUUUCAUUUA